rnacentral:rRNA from 1 species
AUUGAACGCUGGCGGCAUGCCUUACACAUGCAAGUCGAACGGCAGCACGGGUGCUUGCACCUGGUGGCGAGUGGCGAACGGGUGAGUAAUACAUCGGAACGUACCUUAUCGUGGGGGAUAACGCAGCGAAAGCUGUGCUAAUACCGCAUAAUCCCUAAGGGGGAAAGCGGGGGACCGUAAGGCCUCGCGCAAUUAGAGCGGCCGAUACCUGAUUAGCUAGUUGGUGAGGUAAAGGCUCACUAAGGCAACGAUCAGUAGCUGGUCUGAGAGGACGAUCAGCCACACUGGGACUGAGACACGGCCCAGACUCCUACGGGAGGCAGCAGUGGGGAAUUUUGGACAAUGGGGGCAACCCUGAUCCAGCAAUGCCGCGUGAGUGAAGAAGGCCUUCGGGUUGUAAAGCUCUUUUGUCAGGGAAGAAACAGCAGCUCUAACACAGUUUGCGAAUGACGGUACCUGAAGAAUAAGCACCGGCUAACUACGUGCCAGCAGCCGCGGUAA